UGCCACAGCCACAUCACCCUGCAGCCCAAGACCGGUUACUUAUUGAAACUAAGCAGGCCUGAGCCUGGUCAGUACCUGGAUGAGAGAACACAUGGGAAAAUUAGAUUGCUGUUGGAA
ensembl:rRNA 5S_rRNA 5S ribosomal RNA